CGGGGUGCAGCAGGCGCGAAAACUUUACAAUGCUGGAAACAGCGAUAGGGGGACUUUGAGUGCCAGGAUACAAUUCUGGCUGUCGUGAUGCCUAAAAAGCAUUGCAUAGCAAGGGCCGGGCAAGACCGGUGCCAGCCGCCGCGGUAACACCGGCGGCUCGAGUGGUAACCGCUAUUAUUGGGUCUAAAGGGUCUGUAGCCGGCUGGAUAAGUCUCUUGGGAAAUCCGAUAUCUUAACUAUCGGGCUUCCAGGGGAUACUGUCUGGCUCGAGACCGGGAGAGGUGAGAGGUACUUCAUGGGUAGGGGUGAAAUCUUGUAAUCCUUGAAGGACCACCAGUGGCGAAGGCGUCUCACCAGAACGGAUCUGACGGCAAGGGACGAAAGCUAGGGGCACGAACCGGAUUAGAUACCCGGGUAGUCCUAGCCGUAAACGAUACUCGCUAGGUGUCGGCCACGGUGCGACCGUGGUCGGUGCCGUAGGGAAGCCGUGAAGCGAGCCACCUGGGAAGUACGGCCGCAAGGCUGAAACUUAAAGGAAUUGGCGGGGGAGCAC
rnacentral:rRNA from 1 species